GGGCUUCCCUGGUGGCUCAGAUGGUAAAGAACCCGCCUAUAAUGCAGGAGACCUGGCUGUGAUUCCUGCGUCGGGAAGAUCCCCUGGAGAAGGGAAUGGCCACCCACUGCAGUGUUCUUGCCUGGAGAAGUCCUUGGACAGAGGAGUCUGGAGGGCUACAAUCCAUGGGGUCACAAAGAGUUGGACACGACUGAGCGACCAACACUUUAGUGUUUGCUACCCCUAAUGAACUCCUAGGGUGUCCCCUUGUGGGGCAAGAGGUUCCAGGGGAUGCAGGAUGAAAACAUGGGAACUGUUUUUUUUUUGACAUUGGAACUUUUAAAUUUAUUUUCAUUUCAUCCUUAAAAUAUGUUGACUUUCUGAAGGUAUAGAAUACAUUGGUACAUUUGUAUGAUUUUGUAAACAAAUUUACAAGAAAUGGAAGAAAUACAGAGAAAACUUACUGGUGAGCUGUGUCAUCAAAAAAGGUUUUGGGUUUGUGUUACAAGCCUACCAUGUGCAUUUACCAAAUACCACCUUUUUAAAAAAAAAUUAUAUAUUGGAGUGUAGUUGAUUUACAAUGUUAUGUAGUUUCAGGUGUAUAGCAAAGUGAUUCAGUUAUAGAUAUAGCUAGUCUUUUUCAAACUCUUUUCCCACUUAGCUUAUUACAGUAUAUUGAGGAGGGUUCCCUGUGUUCCACAGUAGGUCCUUGUUCAUUAUCUGUUUUAAAUAUGUGUGAAUGUGUUAAUCCCAAAUUCCUAAUUUAUCUCUCCCCCUGCCUUUCCUGGUGGCUCAAACGGUAGAGAAUGCCUGCAAUGCAAGAGACCAGAGUUCGAUCCCUGGGUCAGGAAGAUCGCCUGGAGGAGGAAAUGGCAACCCACUCCAGUAUCUUUGCCGGGAGAAUUCCAUGGACAGAGGAGCCUGGCCAGGCUACAGACCAUGAGGUUGCAAAGAGUCAGACACGACUUUGAGUGACUGAUACUGCCUUUUCCUACCACCUGUUUUAACUCCUGUCUCUUCGUCUGGAUUGCAAGCCUUAGUAUUGCUCAUGUUUGCGUGGUAUCCCACAUUUAGUUGAAGUUUGUGGGUGAUGCUGAAGUUUGAUGAAGGUGGUGCUGGAGAACUGAGUUCCCCAGACCAGUACUCGAAUGUCCAUGCGUUGAGAGGGUGUCAGCUUAGAGCCUCUCAUUCUCCUGCAAACUUUAUCUUCAGCCAGCCCCGUCCCUCACCCGGAAGGAGGCCGUUUAUAGUUGUUUUAUUUUUAGUUGUAAAUGUUUUCUUUUAGAACAAUUCUAGAUUUACAGGAAAGUUGCAAAGAUGGUACAAAGAGUCCCUGUGUAUCCUUUGUCCAGUUUUCCCUUUUGACACUUGUAACAACCAGGAACCGGUUCUAAUGCAUGAUUAUUAAUCAGUGCCCAGACUUUAUCAGGGUUCUUUCCUGUUUCCUCACGUCCUUUUUCUUGUUUCAGGGUCCCACGUGUGUCUGGCCGUCACAUCUGCUGGGGCCCCUCCGGUCUGCUCCCUGUGUUGGUGAUCUUGGCAUUGUGAGGAGUACUGGUCGGGUGUUUUGUAGAGUUAUCCCCCAGCUGGUGCUGGGAAGAGAGCAGGCGAGGGAUUUGGCGGGACCAAGGGCCUCUUAGGGAGGGACGGACGACUGGGACGGACGCUGUGCGUGUUGGACCCUAUCACUUGGCCACCUUUUAACUUUUUCUUAACACCAUCGUAAAUACUACACAUUCCGUGCUUGUGGUAUAAUGGUACUGGCAAGAAGUUAUUUUUAUUUUUAGAGCAAAUAUUGUUGGAAGCUUUUAUUUACUCUCUCCAAGAGCAGCCUCAUCUAGAAGAAGAUGAGGGAAACCUGUUAAGCUUAAGGCUACAGUUAGAAUUACUUCAGGGAGUCUUAUCAGCUUUGGAAAUUGCUGAACGGAAUUACAGGCAACUCCUUUAAUUGGUGAAAGUUCAGAUGAAAUGUCCAGUGGCAAGUCACUUGAAGAGCACAGAGGGCUGGAGCCUUGCUUUGAUCUUUUUACAGAGCUUUUGGUUUCUUUUCAUUUUUUUAUUAUGGAAAAUUUCAAACAUACACAGAAGUAGAAUAAUGAAUAUAACAAACCCUCAUGUGCCUGUCACCGAGCAUCAGCAGCUUUAAAUUUAUAAUGUUGUUCACUUGUGCCUUUUUCACCUGCUUGGCGGCCCCCAUUGGUUCAAUAUCAGUCCCGGCCACAGUAUCAGUUCAGCUGAAAAUGUUUCAGGAAAAAGUAAAGCUGUUUUUAUAAAAGAGAAUCACUUACAUCAAGAUCAGCUGGGUGCUUGUAGAAAUGCAGAUUUGGGGGGCCUCCAAACACACCAGCUGAAUUGGAAUUCUGGAGGUUGGCCCAGAAAUCUGCAUUUGUAAUACUUUUCUGGUGAUUUCUCCAACCCCACAACACGAAAUGCUUGAUCGUGCUGCAUGCGCGUCCAGUCGUGAAGUCGUGUCCGACUCGCUGCGAUCCCCUGUAAUGUGGCCCGCCAGGCUCCUCCUCUCUGCAUGGGGUUCCCCAGGCAAGAGCAGCGGAGUGGAUGGCCCUUCCUUCCUCCAGGGGAUCUUCCCACCAGGGAUGGGGCCCACGUCUCCUGGGUGUCCUGAUGUGGCAGGCAGGUUCCUUCUCGCUGAGGCCCUGGGAAGCCUGUCUUCCACUGGACACGAGAUGAUGUCAGUUAUUUAAUAGGAGCCUGUUGACUUGGGGCGCUUGUGAGACUCAAGGAAGGAAGAACAAUUUAAAAUUAAAAAAAAUAAAACUAAAAUAGUAAUGUCAACGCCUAAGAUCUGAAGCGAUCUCUGCUCCUGAUCACCGUACGUGAAUAUUGUUCUGAAGAAUCUUCCUGUGAGGAGUUAUGUGUGCUAUAACCACAAAGGAAUGUAAAAACUUCAGGGCAGAAUACACACCACCUACCACCUCAAAGGCCUUUUUUUGUUUUCCCACCCCCCUGUAACUUUAACCCUUUCUCUGGGAGGCAGUGUAAAUAAUAACCUCUUUACAUUUUAUAAAUACUCUGUAUAAGUAAUCAGGAAAAGAGCUGUGAGCUGGUGGCCUGACAAUCAGCUGCCAGUGCUGUAGCCGAGUGCCUCGUGGUGCGGAUGGGCCUGCCCCGGCCUGCCGGGUCCCAGCCCAGCAGGGAGACUCGAGCAGGUGGAACUCAGGACGCUCCCUGCUCCCAGGUGACAGGUGUGCUCGCCGUGUGACAGCCCCUGAUUCUUGACCUGUAGGACGGCAGUGCAGUAUGAUAACCAUGUCGUUAACAUUUUGCUAUAUAAAAAAGUUAGUUUUUCUCAGCUGGUUUCUUUUGGAAUAGCCUCAUAUUUGUAGCCCAUUUUAUAUUUUUCAACAGGUAGCCUUUUUUUAAGCUUGUAGAUGUAUUUUAAUAUAUUUGCUGUGAGUGUAUUGAUAUGUACAAUAUAUGAUGAGCUAAAGAAAGCAAACUCUCUCUCAGAAUGCUUCAGUGUGACAGCUGUGUAAUGAGUUGGGUUUGAUUAAGAACAUCAUUGACCCACACACUAGUUCAGAUAAUUCUGGACUUUUUUUUUUUUUUUUUGGCAACAUGUAUGCCUUACAUAGGAGAAAAGAAUUUCAUUUUAAGCAUCUAGGCUAGUGAAUUUUGAGAGAGAAGUUGCUCUUAUCCAAAAGUGAAACCACUGUGAUGUCAUUUUUAAAAACUCAUAGUUUUUUUUUUUCCUCUUUGAGGUCCAUGUUCAAAGUCCAUCCUGAUAAUGUCUUUUUUUCCCCUUUUGCUACACUGGACAAGCGGCUUGCUUAACGUGCUGUAACUGCAGCCUUUAAUUAUGGUGAGUGAAUCUCUAAGCCAUUCUGGACUUAGAAGCCAGAGGUGGAUGAGCUUGCAGUUAUUCUGCACAUUUAAAAUAUCUCCUCUGACCAACCAGUAAUUGUAAAAUUCUGUAGCUUCAGCUUCUUACUGUAGAACCGAAGGCUGUGAUCUACUGGUUACCUCUCAGAUUAGCCUCUGCAUUUAAAGCAUCUUUCACGCUGCAGAUUCUUCCUCGGAACCCUCCAUAAAUUCAACCUGUGCUCCUUUCAGAAGGAAAAAAAAUUCCUUUGCCCAGGGCUGCCUGGCAGCGUGCCUCCUUGGAGAAAGGUUCAGUGUCAGCAGCAAGUGUUACUUUCCAAGGAUGUAGCUUGCCGGUUCUGGGCCCAGAGCCCCCCCGCGCCCCCUCCCCCCGACUCUGACUUCAGACCGUCAUUAAAACGCAGCGCACCCGGAUGCUGAUUGUUGGGUCAUCCCAGUGCACCAGCCCUGAGCACCCUGCCUCACGCGUGGAAUAAAAUCUUUGUGCGAGAACUUCAGAGCAGAAAGGCCAGUUCACAGGGGAGGGAGGUGGGGCCCGGGGAAGGGAAGCAGUGGGUCCA